AGAGCACUCCUUCAUUCUCAAAACACACAGUUCAGGGCCCAGCUCCAGGUGCCUCAGCCCCUAGGAAUCCCCUUGUCUGCACUUGAUCCUAGAAAGGGCAGAAGAAAAGCCACUGGGUAGGACCAGAUUGCACACUGUGUUCAGAACAUGUGUGGCACUUGGGGGUGUGGGAUAGGAACAUCUUCCUGGGAGCUCUGUUGCUGGGUCCCUCUAUGAGGUGGAUUCCAUGUGGCUCCGCCCAGCACCAAGAUCUGACCACAUCCCGCUGGACCACAGAAAAACUACUAUGUAGCUUUCCUUUCCCUCUGCUGCUCCAAGCAAGGUCCUCCUCACCUCCCAACCCUCCUUCCCCCACUCUCCCUCCCCUCACAUCCCCUCCCAGCCAUAGCUGAAUGACCCUCCCACCCCUUCUCACCCACUCUCCCGGCCAUAGCUGCAUGACCCUCCUGCCUCUGCGAAUGUUCAGGUUCCUUUUGCUAUCAAAAGCUAUGGAGCCACAAAAGGACAUGCAGCAAAUCACAUGCCCAAGGUCUACCGCCUUAAAGAGAAGCCAGAGACGGAGAUUAAAUACAAGCAUUAAAGACAAAACAAAAUGCAGAGGUCUGAAGAUAGUGGUCAUCUUUAACAACAAAAUCUUGAAGAUUUUUACUCUAGACGUCCGUGGUCAGGGGAAUCCCCUCUGGGAUGGAACCAAGUGAGGACAUUGUCACAGGAAAGGCCCCAAAGACACUUCAUCACCAGAAACACGAGAGGAUGUCCCGAGGCUGAAUGGAGAUUGCCCCAGGGUAUCUGAGGUACCUUUAGGGAUGAAGGAAGAGAAACAGCAGUCAUGGUAUGCCCACGUCUCUGUGGCUACUUUGAUGCGAGAGGUAAAAAAACCUUUGAAACAUAAUGAACCCGUGAG
rnacentral:lncRNA from 1 species